ACCACAAGUUCGUCGUCGUCAUCGCCAUCGGUAAUCACCUUUCUUCCAAUCCCUUUUAAAUAUACUUGUUUUCUUUGUUGUUGUUGAUUGAUUCGGAGUCAUGCUUUUUUGUUGUUAUUGUUUGAGUUUGUGCUUUGAGUUUUCUUAAAUGUUAUUUAGUUGUUGUGAAUAUUUGAGUCGGUAUUAUCGAAUGAGCAAGAUGAACGGGGUAAGGUUUCAUUGUUCCUAUCUUCUUUGUUUUGUUUAUGAGCAUGGUGAUUGAGAGAGGAAGAUUGGGUCAUGUGAGAUAGAGUAAUAUUGAGAAAAAUAGCCAUGAGAAAGAGCAUAUUU
rnacentral:lncRNA from 1 species